GUUAUUCUUACCAUUACUGUUAAUUUAUCUUCUAAUUUUAAUUCUUCUUUUUCUAACAUUAAGUAUAAAUGUUCUCCUAUUUUCUUAUAUCUUCUUCCUAAAUUAGAAAGUACUAUUUUUAUUUUUAAUUCUUCGUGAUUUUCAUUUGUUUUUUCAUCUAUUAUAAAUUCUUCUUUGUUCAUUUUAUCUACUUGAUAGUGUAU
rnacentral:lncRNA from 1 species